rnacentral:lncRNA from 1 species
UGGCAGACUGCUGCUCUGCAGUAUGCUUUGGUUUCCAUCAGACCUUGGGAAGUUCUUCUGAGCACCUGUGAAGUUCAGUCCUGUCUACGCCGAGCAGGACUGCAGACACAGCUCUGCUGGGUCCUUCCCUCCAAGUGCUUGGGUGAGACACAGGCUGAGCUCUUGCAGACUGAGUUUAUAACAUCUGGUGUAGCUCUGCAUUGUGGACACCUCGCUGGAGCCUCCAGGGUCAGCUGAUGGACUGAGAAACCCCGUGAAGCACAGUGUCUUCUGGAACCACGGGGAAUGGCAUGGUACAGGGUAAGGAGCUCUCUACAAUCAGCAAAGCAUCCACUUCACCGAGUUUAAGCUAAAGCCUUGGAAGGGCUAUAGAAUGGGAUUAGAAUGGCAGAUUGGAAAUAUGGUGCAUUUCUACCUGAUGCUUCACUAAUGGAAAGUAUGAAAUGGAAGGGGAAGGCAGACAGUAGAUUGGGAAGCUGUGGAAGAGGAAAUGCAUUAAGUUCAAUUCAGCAGAGCAAGCACUUAGAGAAGCAAAAGGAACAAAUCACAGCCUCAGAAACGUAAGUCCACUUUUGAUUAACCCAUGAGAUAGACCACCUCCUGAUGUCUUUUCACUGGUUAUAUGAGAAGGUAAUUGAAUUGGAGUUGUAAACACAACUAACUUCAGGACACUGUACGUGUCUUUACUUUAUGUUUUAUAUAACAGAAAUGUAAUAAUUAUGCUUUAAUUUAUCUUUUUAUUAUGCUGCUCCUGUUGUCUUUUUAUUCUAAGUAAGCAUAGUCAGGAACCACAGGUAUAAUAUAACCAUGGACAGACGUUAAAUUCUUUGACAGUAGUUAUGGUAUUUCUACUCUAACAGGAUUAGAAAAGGUGAUAAUAUAUUUCUGCAAGUUAUAAAUGUACAUAUUUACAGGCUCAGUAAAACACAUCUGAUAGUAAAAUCAGAUAUCUUAGCUAGUCAUCCAUGACAUUUAGUUGUUAUCAGUUAGAAUUCAUCAAAAUGAAACAUCCUGCCCCCAAAGCUGAGAAUCUCCCUUGGCUGUUCUCCACAAGGUCCUGAAUUAAACAUGUCACAGCCCUUUUCUCUCAGUCAUUUGCCAGUAUAUCUGACAAUUUUAAAUUCUACAUUCAUAUUCCUUCUACAUUAAAUUUUAGCAACCCAUCACAUUUUGAAGUCAGUUUCCCAUGAAUGCUACUUUUUCUCCACCACAAUACUUAUUUUGCUGUUUUUAAAAAUUAUUAUUUUUUUAAUAAAUGUAGUUUGGAUAAUAAUCAUCCUUCCCUUUAAAAGGAUCUUAAAAAUAACCAUUCUGGGAGCCUUUAUUUAAAUCAGUGACAAGGACACUUAAGUCUAUGGACUGGACUAUGAUUCCCAGUGUUAUACAGAUGAAGAAUACAGGAAUUUAAGGCAGCAUUGGAAUGUGCAGGGUUAUCAGACAUAUCUAUCUUCUGAUGAGUUAGUCAACGGAGAGUUACUCAAAGCAGAGCUCUUCUAAUGCUUUUGACUCCCCACCCCCAUGCUGCAUCUAUAUAAAUUAAGUGGAAACAUAGUUUUGUUCUGUCUGAUUCUAAGCACUAUUCUAAGCAUUUAAAUUCUUGUUAAGAAUUUUAACAUUAACAUAAUGAUGCUAAAUGGAAAAUUUAGUCCCUGCUUAUUAACUAUAUAUUUGGUAUUAUAUAAGGCCACACGUGAUGUGGAUUAUUGUGCAAAAUAUGUCCUGUUUAGAACCAAUUGGUAGAUUAGACAGAUUUGGUCCAUUAUUACAUAUCUUCAGAUCUGUUUUCCUGUAGGAAGCAAUCAGGAUUUACCCCUCAGUCAAUGCAGUGGCAAAUCUAAUAUCAUUUUAACACAAAGAAACUUUAAUUAAAGUGUAAAAAUAUGCAUCCCUUGAAGUCUGCUCUGUCAAUAUGUAUCAUGGUCAUUGUUACCAUGCAGCCAGCCUGCUUUAUUGAGAAGAGAGCAUUCAUUUAAAAAUCCUAAAUAGAAAUAAACUAUCUGGAAAACUUUCUAAAAAACUGCUAGUGAUGUAUACUGAAAAGUCUAAUACUAAAACCUUCUUAGGACUCAGAUAAAUUUCACUUAGUCAAAAGCAGGCCAAGUCCUAUGCAUCAUUUUGAAUUAUUUUUAGGAUUAAGUGUUCAGGCAUCAUGAAAGAACCAAGCAACUCUUUGAAAGUACUUUCUUUCUGAACGCUCCUUUAAGUACUAUUUCAGAACUAUUAUAUUUCUUUGUGUUAAUACCUAUAUUUUUGAAGUGUCUAUCUAACAUUUGAUUUCUCAGUUGCAUUAGUUACUGGAGAUUGCUAAUGGCUGC